GUAGGCACUAUGAGCAAGAGGCAAGGUGCAUUGUGGUAAAAACAAACAUGGAUAUAUGUGCCUGUUUCUUGCACUUACUCUCCAAAUGAGUCCUACAGUGCGCUCUAACUAUUACACAGAUGUAUAUAUCCACAGGCAGACAAGAUGUCUUACAACUAAAAUAUCUUUGUACACUCCUUACUUGGUGGAAGAUACAAUAGAAUGGUACUGUGUGUUCUGUAUCUACUGAUGAUUUGAUUGUAAUGACUGAUUUAGUUUCUAGACUAGAUGACAUCAAGCUGUGCUUUUUCCCUUCUAGUAUUUCCCAUGAGCUAAAUGGGUCCAUGAUGGAAGGCAAGAUUUCAUAAAGUAUAAUGUUGAGUUGAACAGUAAGUGUCACCGGAGAGAAUGUGGGAAGGAUCCUUAUACCCUUCAGUUCAGUAAAUCUGCAAAGGCAGCUGCUGCCACCUGCCAAGAGGUUUUAGCAGCAGUAGAAGGAUGGAAAUUUUCUCUGUGGGUGCAGCAAGGGAAGGUGGAAAUAAGUGGAUCAUGCCAGUGACUACGGAGAACCACCCAUCUAAGUGGAGCUGGUGUUUGCAAGACUCUCAACAGAAUGGCAGGAAACACACACCAAGUGGUCACGGAAGGAUGUGAUGUCAGCAACCACGAACAAUAAAAGGUGUAAAGGUGCUUCCUUCCCUAAACUGUUCCAGAAGUACAAAAUGGGAACCAAAACUCGGCACUUCCUUCUCUGUGCAGAAAUGGCUGCAUUUGCCCUGCAGCAGAACCCCAAGCACAGGGCACGUCAGGAAGACAUGGAACUAACUGGCAGCAAAUUGUCAAAAAAGCGUCGGCUGGAGAAUUCUUUUUUUUUUCUUUUUUUUUUUUAGACUUUGCCAAAACAAGAACAGAAAGAAAGAAAUGUCUGAACAAGAAGAAACAUUAGAGGAGCUAAAAAUAAUAAUGAAAUGAUGGGUGAAUACAAAUAAUAUUGGCCUUUUCUAAAAAAAAAUAAUUGCGUUAAGCUGAAGAGACUGGGUUUCCCAAUCCCUUAAAUGGGAAAGAUAGUGGGUGCAAACAGAAGGAGCAAGAGAAUACCUACCCAUAUCCUUAUGCACUAUUAUUCCCAGUUAUCCAGCCACCCUACCUCUUAGAGCUUACAAUCUAACUUUGCUACCUGGGGCUGCAGCAUAUUAUGUGACUUGCCUUAGGCUACUUUUGACUUCUCUAUACUCAUGGUGACAUUAAGUGCUUCCAGCUGGCUGGAAACCUACAAUUCACAAUAGCUAUAAAUAAUACCUCAAAGCCAGUUUAAAAGCCUUAGGAGGUUAUUUGGAAUACAGCUGAAUUUUUUUUCAUAUAUAAACAGUAAAAAUUCACAUAAUAAUGAAUAUGGUUCUUAGAAGUGCUACAUAAAGUCGACUUUUUGUUCCAUUAAAGCAAAAUAAAAAACUUUUCUCGCUAUGCACGCAGUAUUUUAUAAGUAUUGUUAGCGGUAUUCUGGCAUAAGGCACCAAGCACCAUUACAAAAGUCCAUCCAU